rnacentral:rRNA from 1 species
UACGUAGGGUGCAAGCGUUAAUCGGAAUUACUGGGCGUAAAGCGUGCGCAGGCGGUGAUGUAAGACAGUUGUGAAAUCCCCGGGCUCAACCUGGGAACUGCAUCUGUGACUGCAUCGCUGGAGUGCGGCAGAGGGGGAUGGGAUUCCGCGUGUAGCAGUGAAAUACGUAGAUAUGCGGAGGAACACCGAUGGCGAAGGCAAUCCCCUGGGCCUGCACUGACGCUCAUGCACGAAAGCGUGGGGAGCAAACAGG